rnacentral:rRNA from 1 species
GCUGCAUGGCUGUCGUCAGCUCGUGUCGUGAGAUGUUGGGUUAAGUCCCGCAACGAGCGCAACCCUUGCCAUUAGUUGCUACGAAAGGGCACUCUAAUGGGACUGCCGGUGACAAACCGGAGGAAGGUGGGGAUGACGUCAAGUCCUCAUGGCCCUUAUAGGUGGGGCUACACACGUCAUACAAUGGCCGGUACAAAGGGUAGCCAACCCGCGAGGGGGAGCCAAUCCCAUAAAGCCGGUCGUAGUCCGGAUCGCAGUCUGCAACUCGACUGCGUGAAGUCGGAAUCGCUAGUAAUCGUGGAUCAGCAUGUCACGGUGAAUACGUUCCCGGGUCUU